rnacentral:pre_miRNA from 1 species
UCACCUCCGCAGGCAGCCGGCUCCCAGGCUGGGCUGGGUGAGUAUCUCUUCGAAAGGCUCACCCUCAGGCAUGACUUUGAGG